rnacentral:rRNA from 1 species
AUUGAACGCUGGCGGAAUGCUUUACACAUGCAAGUCGAACGGCAGCACGGGUGCUUGCACCUGGUGGCGAGUGGCGAACGGGUGAGUAACAUAUCGGAACGUACCCAGUAAUGGGGGAUAACUAACCGAAAGGUUAGCUAAUACCGCAUACGCCCUGAGGGGGAAAGCGGGGGAUCGAAAGACCUCGCGUUAUUGGAGCGGCCGAUAUCUGAUUAGCUAGUUGGUGAGGUAAAGGCUCACCAAGGCGACGAUCAGUAGCAGGUCUGAGAGGAUGAUCUGCCACACUGGAACUGACACACGGUCCAGACUCCUACGGGAGGCAGCAGUGGGGAAUUUUGGACAAUGGGGGAAACCCUGAUCCAGCCAUUCCGCGUGAGUGAAGAAGGCCUUCGGGUUGUAAAGCUCUUUCGGCAGGGAAGAAACGGUUCUGGAUAAUACCCGGAGCUAAUGACGGUACCUGAAGAAGAAGCACCGGCUAACUACGUGCCAGCCGCCGCAGUAA